rnacentral:rRNA from 1 species
AUCAUUAUCAUUUGGUCAUGGACGUCUGCUUGCAUUCACAGUAAUUUGGUAAUAUUGGCCUAUAUACACUGAUCUUAACGAUACAUAUGGCGAUCCAUUCUUGUAUGAAAUGUACAUCACAUUAUAACGAUAUCGUAACCAUAUUUUUUGUAGUGUACAAUGCUAUGUGAUAGCACUUCCUGUUUUGUCAACGGGUGAAAGGUCGUGUUGCAUCGCAUCCCGCAAUAUCACUUCGGGGUGGGGUCAAAUGACAUCACUUCCUGUGAUGUCACCAGGGGGUCAAGGGUUGUGUGAUGUCACUUCCGCUACCCCUGGCAUUUUGGUGAAAUGACAUCCCUGCGUUCGGAAGGGAUGGGCUAUGGUCUCCGUUGCCCUCAGCCGAUCGACAGGGAGUUGGCUUUAGAUCCCCGAACUCAGAGUGGCAUAGAUGGGCACCCUUGCGGCGUCCAGUGCGGUAACGCAAAUGAUCCCAGAGAAGCCGGCGGGAGCUGCACAGACUUUUCUUUGUGAAGGGCAGGGCACCCUGGAAUGGGUUUGCCCCAAGAAAGGGGCCUGAGCCUUGGAAAGCGUUGCGGUUCCGGCAGCGUUCGGUGAGCUCUCGCUGGUCCUUGAAAAUCUGGGUAAGAUGUAAAUCUCGCGCCAGGCCGUACCCAUAUCUCCAAGGCGGACAACGCUGGCAUGUCAGAACAAUGUAGGUACAGGAAGUUGGCAAGUUAGAUCCGUAACUUCAGGAUAAGGAUUGGCUCUAAGGGCUGGGUCGGUCGGCUGGGGCGCAAAGCAGGGCUGGGUGCGCACCAUGGCUGGAUGAGGCGUCUUCCCCCCCCACCCGGGGGCGGCUCUGCCUCUGGAUGCGAGCCAGGCCCUUCCUGGGGAUCACCCCAGCUGCAGUGUUCGCCUCUCUCGUUCCCCUCGGGUGUUCAGAGCUGGAAUUUUGCCUCGGCCGACACCGAGCAGCUGACUUGGAACUGGUGCAGUCUUUACACACAAAAAGGAAGCUGAGGGAGUGCCACUGCCCACUACUAACCAGCCCUCAUUAAGGUUCUGCACCUUUUUCAAUAAACAUUAAGGUUAGGUGGGCUAUUGAAAACUGUCUCCACAGUAAAGAACCAUAGAUGACACCAGAAACCAACAAUACGGGUAGUGCUAUCGCUAUAUUAAAUUCAGAAGCACACAACCGGUUAAACUUCAAAAAUUAGACCAUUUUAUUAACAUAUAAAAGAUAAAAAGUUUUGAACACUGCCAAUUGUCCCCAUAAAAUGAUUCGACACAAUAUAGCAAUACACAAUAAUGCUUACUCAAAUCAGUAAGGAACAGCGCAGGGGGUGUUACAGACAGUAAAACAAAAGGACAAGGUAUUAAAUCACAAUGGCCUAAAAGGGUCAGUGGUGUAAAUGAAAGUGUCAUGUGCUCUGCAAAUUGCGCUUGUAAACUUAAUCUAACACUCCAUUCAAACUCGCCAUUGCUCAUACAUCCACUUACAUACAAUGUAUACCAACAUGUUUCUUUCCAAAAAUGUAACAGGUGCAAAGGUUUGUACAAGGAAAUUCAUUACGGACUGUCAACAAAUACAGAACACUGUUGUGCAGAUGCAGCUAAUGCAAGACAACAUAAAAGUUUAUCUCUAUACCGAUGAUGAUAUUAGUAUAUUGUCAACACUCAUAAGAGUGUUACUUAGAACACAUUUCGCAAGCCUCCAGAUGCUAAAUAUCGGAUUGGUAAAGAGUCCACAAUGUGGCUGCUAGUUUCACCAUGGAUUACAUGAGAACAGUAAGGAAAUGGGAAAAAUUACCAUUUAUCGGGUGCAAUCAUGUUCAACAAUCAACAUAAGAUUGCUAAUACGGUCUUCAUACUGUGCCUAUAUAAAAGAGGGCAGGUUAGUGGCCCAAAAGGCUGUUAUUUGGAGGAAGUAGGUGCGCAGGAAGAGAGGGGGAAGCACAAGCCCACAGGCGGGGAACCGUAGCAAAAUGAAUAGAAAGAUGUGUGCCGGCACCGGCCUAUUAUUGUGCAAGUUUCCUUGGAACAAAAGAAAGGGGUGGCCGCAGUACCAUUUGUAAGUAAAGAGGUCCAGACCUGAGAACAUGCCCUGAAAAACUGGUGCGGACCAGGGGAAUCUGACUGUUUAAUUAAAACAAAGCAUUGCGAAGGCCUGUGGAGGGUGUUGACGCAAUGUGAUUUCUGCCAAGUGCUCUGAAUGUCAAAGUGAAGAAAUUCAACGAAGCGUGGGUAAAUGGCUGGGGUAACUAUGACCUUUAAGGUAGCCAAAUGCCUCGUCAUUUAAUUAGUGAUGUUCAUGAAUGGAUGAAUGAGAUUUCCACUGUCCCUACCUACUAUCUAGCGAAACCACAGCCAAGGGAACAAGCUUGGCAGAAUCGUCGGGGAAAAAAGACCUGGUUAAGUUUGACUCUAGUCUGGCACUGUGAAGAGACAUGAGAGGUAAGAUAAGUGGGAGGCCCUCUGGCUGCUGGUGAAAUACCACUACUCUUAUUGUUUUUCCACUUACCCCGCUGAGGCGGCGGCGAGCCCCGUGGGGCUCUUGCUUCUGGCUCCAAGCGCCCGGCACAUGCCCGGCAUGACCCGCUCCGGAGACAGUGGCAGGUGGGGAGUUUGACUGGGGUGGUACACCUGUCAAAGGAUAACACAGGUCUCCUAAGGCGAACACAGGGAGGACAGAAACCUCCCGCGGAGCAGAAGGGCAAAAGCUAGCUUGAUCUCGAUUUUUCAGUAUGAAUACAGACUGUGAAAGCGGAGCUUCACGAUCCUGCUGACUUUUUGGGUUUCAAGCAGGAGGUGUCAGGAAAGUUACCACAGGGAUAACUGGCUUGUGGCGGCCAAGCAUUCAUAGCAACGUCUCUUUUUGAUCCUUCAAUGUCGACUCUUCCUAUCAUUGUGAAACAGAAUUCACCAAGCAUCAGAUUGUUCACCAACUAAUAAGGAACGUGAGGUGGAUUUAGACCGUUGUGAGACAGGUUAGUUUUACCCUACUGAUUAUGUGUUGUUGCAAUUGUAAUCCUGCUCAGUACGAGUGGAACCGCAGGUUCAGACAUUUGGCGUGCAUGCUUGGCUGAGGAGCCAAUGGGGUGAAGCUACCAUCUGUGGGAUUAUGACUGAAUGCCUCUAAGUCGGAAAUCCGCCCCACCCCCAGACCGUGAUACCACAGCGCUGUCGAGCAUCGGUUGGCUUAGGAUAGCCGGCCGUGUAGAGCUGCUCGCCUCGGGACUUGAGUGUGGACAGAAGGGGGCCACCUCUCUCACCCGUAGAGCACUGAAUGUUCGUUUGGAAUCU